AGUGAGCGCUGGCGGUAGGCCUAACACAUGCAAGUCGAACGGCAGCACAGUAAGAGCUUGCUCUUACGGGUGGCGAGUGGCGGACGGGUGAGGAAUACAUCGGAAUCUACUUUUUCGUGGGGGAUAACGUAGGGAAACUUACGCUAAUACCGCAUACGACCUACGGGUGAAAGCAGGGGAUCUUCGGACCUUGCGCGAUUGAAUGAGCCGAUGUCGGAUUAGCUAGUUGGCGGGGUAAAGGCCCACCAAGGCGACGAUCCGUAGCUGGCCUGAGAGGAUGAUCAGCCACACUGGAACUGAGACACGGUCCAGACUCCUACGGGAGGCAGCAGUGGGGAAUAUUGGACAAUGGGCGCAAGCCUGAUCCAGCCAUACCGCGUGGGUGAAGAAGGCCUUCGGGUUGUAAAGCCCUUUUGUUGGGAAAGAAAAGCAGCAGGUUAAUACCCCGCUGUUCUGACGGUACCCAAAGAACAAGCACCGGCUAACUUCGUG
rnacentral:rRNA from 1 species